AGGACGAACGCUGGCGGCGUGCUUAACACAUGCAAGUCGAGCGAGCCUUCGGGCGAGCGGCGAACGGGUGAGUAACACGUGGGCAACCUGCCCCAAGCUCUGGGAUAACCCCCGGGAAACCGGGGCUAAUACCGGAUAUGACCUAGGCCGACAUCGGCCGUGGUGGAAAGUUUUUCGGCUAGGGAUGGACUCGCGGCCUAUCAGCUAGUUGGUGGGGUAAUGGCCUACCAAGGCGACGACGGGUAGCC
rnacentral:rRNA from 1 species